AUACGAAGGGUGCAAGCGUUAAUCGGAAUUACUGGGCGUAAAGCGCGCGUAGGUGGUUCGUUAAGUUGGAUGUGAAAGCCCCGGGCUCAACCUGGGAACUGCAUCCAAAACUGGCGAGCUAGAGUAUGGCAGAGGGUGGUGGAAUUUCCUGUGUAGCGGUGAAAUGCGUAGAUAUAGGAAGGAACACCAGUGGCGAAGGCGACCCCCUGGGCAAAUCCUGACAUUAAGUUGCGAAAGCGUGGGAGCAAAAAGGAUUAGAUACCCGGGUAGUCCACGCCGUAAACGAUGUCGACUAGCCGUUGGGAUCCUUGAGAUCUUAGUGGCGCAGCUAACGCAUUAAGUCGACCGCCUGGGGAGUACGGCCGCAAGGUUAAAACUCAAAUGAAUUGACGGGG
rnacentral:rRNA from 1 species